AAUAGAUACCCGGGUAGUCCACGCCGUAAACGAUGAGUGCUAAGUGUUAGAGGGUUUCCGCCCUUUAGUGCUGCAGCUAACGCAUUAAGCACUCCGCCUGGGGAGUACGGUCGCAAGACUGAAACUCAAAGGAAUUGACGGGGGCCCGCACAAGCGGUGGAGCAUGUGGUUUAAUUCGAAGCAACGCGAAGAACCUUACCAGGUCUUGACAUCCUCUGACAACUCUAGAGAUAGAGCGUUCCCCUUCGGGGGACAGAGUGACAGGUGGUGCAUGGUUGUCGUCAGCUCGUGUCGUGAGAUGUUGGGUUAGGUCCCGCAACGAGCGCAACCCUUGAUCUUAGUUGCCAGCAUUCAGUUGGGCACUCUAAGGUGACUGCCGGUGACAAACCGGAGGAAGGUGGGGAUGACGUCAAAUCAUCAUGCCCCUUAUGACCUGGGCUACACACGUGCUACAAUGGAUGGUACAAAGGGCUGCAAGACCGCGAGGUCAAGCCAAUCCCAUAAACCAUUCUCAGUUCGGAUUGUAGG
rnacentral:rRNA from 1 species